rnacentral:rRNA from 1 species
GUGGGGAAUAUUGGACAAUGGGGGGAACCCUGAUCCAGCCAUGCCGCGUGUGUGAAGAAGGCCUUUUGGUUGUAAAGCACUUUAAGCGAGGAGGAGGCUACCGAGAUUAAUACUCUUGGAUAGUGGACGUUACUCGCAGAAUAAGCACCGGCUAACUCUGUGCCAGCAGCCGCGGUAAUACAGAGGUUGCAAGCGUUAAUCGGAUUUACUGGGCGUAAAGCGCGCGUAGGUGGCCAAUUAAGUCAAAUGUGAAAUCCCCGAGCUUAACUUGGGAAUUGCAUUCGAUACUGGUUGGCUAGAGUAUGGGAGAGGAUGGUAGAAUUCCAGGUGUAGCGGUGAAAUGCGUAGAGAUCUGGAGGAAUACCGAUGGCGAAGGCAGCCAUCUGGCCUAAUACUGACACUGAGGUGCGAAAGCAUGGGGAGCAAACAGGAUUAGAUACCCCUGUAGUCC